UCUAUGGUGUGUGGAAGAAAAUCUUGAAACCUCCUCUUCCCUUGGAUGUGCAUGGAGUGGAAUUCACUAUUGCCCUCUUCGAUGCUCUUCCAUCACUUUUUCCUUCCCCAACUACACCACCAAAGCGGCUGGGAAAUGCCAGUGAGGCUCUCCUUCAUAUCCUUAAGCCCGGUGAAGAUGCUAUGUUAUACCUGCAGAAGCGGCCCCUCUCCUCCCCGGUGCUGCUUUUUGAUGGAACAUCCACCAUUGUUGCUGUGGGAAACGUACCAGUGAGCACUCUUCCAUUGGAGGAAUUUUGGGAAGGAAUGUUGGUGUUAAUGGCAUAUUACUACACUUUGCACUUAACAUACCCAAAAUGUGUUGCAACGCUCCUCUCUGUCAUACAAACUGAGGUUAUCUGUGAUACCAUCCAUAAUCAAGAUGCCACUAGCACAUAUAAAAGAGCAAUAGCUGAAUGGAAGUCCUUCUUUGGAAAAUAGGUGAAUGUGCAGCGUUUUAUCAGGUCAGAUGGGGUUGUUUGUUUUAUAGUACCUCUGUGUAGCUUUUCUUCAUGACUUGGCUAGCAAUGUUCUGUGUUUAUUUGCUAGAAGAGCUCUUAAACAGCACUUCACCUGAAGCAUGUUAAGGUUUAACUAAGCACUUUUGUUGAUUGUGCUGUUAUUAUUGCAAUGUGUGAUUGCCAUGUAAUUUGCAUUUGGGCCUUUAGUAGUAUUUUGUAGUAGCUUAAUUUUGUAGUAUUGUCAACAAUAUAUCGUUUAGUGAGCUUAAUAAAUGUUGACUAUUAUCGUACUGCUGUCCAGGUUGUGAUUUCUGUAGAAUACAGUAUAUUCUAAGAAUAAGAACUGGUUUAAAGUUUUUUGGGCUUAGUCUUAAUAUGGAUUUUGGUUUAUUUCAAGAUGAAUCAACUUGUUUCAAAAUGUAAC